rnacentral:rRNA from 1 species
GAGUUUGAUCCUGGCUCAGAACGAACGCUGGCGGCGUGCUUAACACAUGCAAGUCGAACGAGAAAGUGGGCUUCGGCCCGCGAGUACAGUGGCAGACGGGUGAGUAACACGUGGGUAACCUGCCCGGAGGUGGGGGAUAACCCUCCGAAAGGAGGGCUAAUACCGCAUGACAUCUCGAGGACUUCGGGCUUCGAGAUCAAAGCCAGCCUCUCCCUGGAAGCUGGCGCCACCGGAGGGGCCCGCGCCCCAUUAGCUUGUUGGUGAGGUAACGGCUCACCAAGGCCGCGAUGGGUAGCCGGCCUGAGAGGGUGAUCGGCCACACUGGAACUGAGACACGGUCCAGACUCCUACGGGAGGCAGCAGUGAGGAAUCUUGCGCAAUGGGCGAAAGCCUGACGCAGCGACGCCGCGUGGAGGACGAAGGCCUUCGGGUCGUAAACUCCUGUCAAGAGGGACGAAAGUUAUCGGGAUGAAUAAGCCCGAUGAUUGACGGUACCUCUGGAGGAAGCCCCGGCUAACUCCGUGCCAGCAGCCG